GAUCAAUUCAAUGUAGAUUAUAGAUCUAAAUAAGAAAAAACAGAAUAUCUUUAUGACCUUUUAGUAGUCAAAAAAUAUCUUACACAAGACACAAAAGUUGUAACCAUAAGGUAAAUAUUGAUGAACUGGACUACAUUAAAAUGAAGAACUUCUGUUCACCACAAAGUGAAACAUCGUCUCUACUAAAAAUACAAAAAAUUAGCCGGGCAUGGUGGUGGAUGCCUGUAGUCCCAGCUACUUGGGAGGCUGAGGCAGGAGAAUCACUGGAACCUG
rnacentral:lncRNA from 1 species